GUGACCUCAAAUCAGGUAGGAUUACCCGCUGAACUUAAGCAUAUCAAUAAGCGGAGGAAAAGAAACUAACAAGGAUUCCCCUAGUAACUGCGAGUGAAGCGGGAAAAGCUCAAAUUUAAAAUCUGGCAGCCUUUGGCUGUCCGAGUUGUAAUCUAGAGAAGUGCUAUCCGCGCUGGACCGUGUACAAGUCUCCUGGAAUGGAGCGUCAUAGAGGGUGAGAAUCCCGUCUUUGACACGGACUGCCAGGGCUUUGUGAUGUGCUCUCGAAGAGUCGAGUUGUUUGGGAAUGCAGCUCAAAAUGGGUGGUAAAUUCCAUCUAAAGCUAAAUAUUGGCGAGAGACCGAUAGCGAACAAGUACCGUGAGGGAAAGAUGAAAAGAACUUUGGAAAGAGAGUUAAACAGUACGUGAAAUUGCUGAAAGGGAAACGCUUGAAGUCAGUCGCGUUGUCCAGGGAUCAACCUUGCUUUUGCUUGGUGCACUUUCUGGUUGACGGGUCAGCAUCAAUUUUGACCAUUGGAAAAAGAUUAGGGGAAUGUGACAUCUUAGGAUGUGUUAUAGCCCUUGGUUGCAUACAAUGGUUGGGAUUGAGGAACUCAGCACGCCGCAAGGCCGGGUUUUUAACCACGUACGUGCUUAGGAUGCUGGCAUAAUGGCUUUAAUCGACC
rnacentral:rRNA from 1 species